UUUGUAUGUAACAAUAUUGAGCACAUGGUGUGACUUGCUGUAUUUUACAAAGUUAUUAUAGGGAGGGGUGGUCAUCACGAGGUUUAACUGAGAUGGAAAAAUACUGAACAACACAAUAGCAGGAACUGUUCUAACUAGGCUGCGAUACCAGAACAGUAAGAAUCUAUACAUCGACGGAGGGAGAACUCCAAGAAGCGCCAAGAGGCGGGGACCCGCCUGAGCGCCUGCAAUAGGCUGGACAAGUUUAAACCACGCCCAGCCUCUACUGUGAUAGUUCCAACCCGUCUGUUGGCCUGUCUAUCACAGUAUAAAGAAUACUGUUUACAUACAUCUUGUCAGUUCUCUGUUCUGCCCUGCAUGGUAUUACAGUGAGCCCGUAUAUACGAAAGUUGCACUUGCCAUUUAUUACUUAGCUAAUAAAAAAUACAUAGUAUAACAUCGGUGACUCAUUGUUAUAUUUAUCCUGAUACCAGAUUCAAAUUUACGCAACUCUAACAAUUUGGUGACCACCGAUGUGAUCUGGUAGAAGGACGACGCUGGAAAUUGUCCGGCCGAUUGGCCAGUACUGUCGUCGGACGGUGUGUCUCACAAAUCCUGACCGGUCAACUAAAAGAGAAGCCUCCUGGGAUUAUAAUCUUCGGGAGAGUGGGGGAGAGAGCGGCCAUAAACGACCAAAUUGAAAAAGGUCUGGAAGUCUUGAUUAUCCAUUAAGGUUUGCAAAUAUAUACACAUAAAACAAUUGUUAGAACUAUUUGUUUUAGUGCAAAGGUAUUUUAAAGAGGCACGCUCACAUAUGGAACCUUAUGAGUUUUUUAUUUUAUGAGUUUUAAUUACACAAGCGAUUUUUAUUUUAUUUUAAGGAUAAAGGGUUCUUUAAUAUGUCUAAUAUGGUAUGGAACACAAAUGUAAGGGGAUGGUGUAACCUUUGACCUGCUUUCAUGACUCUCCCGGGUUGUCUGAUCAGCCACAAAGGGGUGCCAUUUGAAUAAUGAAUUUGUGGUCAUGGGUAAUACAGUUUAAAAAGUUGAAUUAACCUAGAUAAGAACUUUAGAAAUUGCCACCAUAGACAAGUUUUUCUAAAAAAAUCCAUGAGUUUAGAUAAAGCCAAACAGUGAGACAUUUAGUUAAAAUGUGGAAACAUGAGAAAAAGAGCUACAGACAGAUAGGGGAAAAGGCAGACAGAAGAGCCCUCCCCCGCACUGCAGAGGCCUUGAAGGUUGGAGAGCAGAGAGGAGAAGUUUUAGAAGAGGAGCCAGGACGAGCAAAGAUAACAGAAUGUGUAGAUAAGUUACUGAGUGGAGACAAAAGGGAGAAUUGGACAUGUGGAAAAUGAAAGGGGCGCUCCUACAUGAUAAUGUCAGAACAGAAGGAUAAUAUACUAAUCUUACCUAAGUCAUUAUUUAGAGUAGGUAAGGUUGUUACCUGGGCAGAGCCAGGUAUCAAAAGGGGGAUAGGUAAAUUGUGGUCUAGGAUAGGAUGGGGCCUAUUGGAUAAGAAACUAAUAAUUUUAAAAAAUGUAGCUAACAAAUGGGCAUAGAAGUUAAAGAUAUAAUCAGAUAAAACACAUGAGAAACUGUUUGUUAACCAAGCCUGUAUGUCCAGGAUUUUAUGCAUUACAGGUGAACUACAGGUGAAGUCACUCAAUCCAGUCCCAGAGGCUUGUUGGGGGGACCAUACCAAGGACUCGGAUUCAUAUCGCACGGUGGGAGGGUAAGACACAGUGACACUGUCGAACAAUAAACAGUGUUCGAGAGGAGAACUGGAAUGAACAGAAUUCCGGGGGCCAUCUCUCAAAUGAAGUAACCCUCCCUGUCUUUUCAUCCCUGUUUUUGUUCAUAGAAGUGAAGAUGUGUCUGGCUCUUGCUAAGUGAUGUGUUCUCGGGAGAGGGUGGGGCUUCACAUGGAAGCUGUUCGUCUGAGCUGUUUUAUCGUGGGUGACAUAUUCCUGAUACAGCACGUCCUACUUGAGUAUGCGGAGAGUGGUAAUUUGACCCAUGGUUUAGACGAUGAGGAUUUUGUUCCAAAAUAAGCAUAAGAGAUCCCUAGAUCUGGGUAGACAGGAAGUUAGAGUAGAGGUUGGGAAGGAUCUCUCAAUGGAGUUUUAUGUAGAUCAAGAUGGAGUCUCUAACUACAUGGCAGUCUAGGACUCUGAGCCAUUAUGGCAUAUAUCGGUGCAGGAUCCCAUAUUGAUCGUGGACACAGGUCAUAGCUCAUUUGGAGAGAGAGGCCUAUAUGAAUCCACUCACCCAGUAUGGAAGAAGGUAGAGUAUAGUGAAGGUGAUAGUUUUUGAUUGUAAUCAGGAGAGAGGGAUGUAAUUGCAUAAAGAUACGCCUAACCCUUUAAACAGAAAUGAAGGAGGAUCUAGGGUUGUGGUAUGGAUAUGACCAGGUCUUGGUUGACACCCUAGUACAGUUCUGGGUAGAGGAGUUUAGGCCGGUAUGGUAAAGCUGUUCACGAAAGCAGGAAUGCCAGAUGACAGUUGCAUUGACUUGCACGAUUUAUAUCCACAGGUUCCUCCCUUUACAGUGACCUGAGGAGAUUAUUACCGUUUGGCCCGGUACAGUACACUUGGGAAAUGUCAGGGCGAGGUUUUACCGACAGAUUGGACAGGAUUAUGUCCUUGUACAUUUGGGAAUGCCUAUUCCCACUCAUUUAACACAGAGACAUGAAGUUUAGCCAAUUGGGAGAAAAGAGCGACUCCAUCCGCGUCUCUUAUUGACAACGUAUACAUUGAUAACAUUGGGGUUCCACAGACGUGGACUGGAUUAAUUAUAUUUAUUAUAAUCAACAGCGCUUUAACAAUUAUACCAGAGAUGCUAUUAAAGGGCUUGCAGAACAGACUGAAGCAACCAGCUGAUGGCUUGGCAGAAUAGAAUUGCUUUAGAUAUGUUAUUGGCUGAAAAGGGAGAAGUAUGCGUGAUUAUCGGGACCAUGUUUGUGCUUAUAUCCCAAAUAACACAGCUCCGGACGAAUCAGUGCCCGAAGCCUCAGCUGGUUUGACCACCCUGGCUCACGGUUUGGCAGAAAACUCUGGGGUGGAUACUUCUCUGACUAAUUGUUUUGAUAGCAUGUUCGGAAAAUGGGAAAAAAUAUUAUGAUCACUGUAUUAUGGGCUUUAUUCACCUGUGUGACUGUUUUAGUUUUAUGGGGCUGUUGUCUAAUUCCCUGUGUAUGAGGCCUUAUUUCCAGGACUCUGGAGAAAUCGAUGGAAAUAGAUGGUGAGGUACCAGCGGAUUCCAGGUUCUGACCCGUGGAGUGCUGAAUGUAUGUCUACAGAACAAGUGGACGAAAAUUAUAAAUUAAAUUAUAUUAAAUUGGGAGGGUGUCCGUAUGGGGAUUACAUGAUAACCGACUUGGGACAGUUCUGGGAUUGGAGAAGAGGGUAUCCUUAUAGCAUAGGGGAUCCCACAAAGGUGGAUAGGUUUUCCAUGAUAUGGGGAAAACCUGGGAGCACUGUUGAACUUUGUAAAGGUGAUGAAAUCCUACUAACCAUCAAAACUAUUAAGCUCUCUGAUGCAGGCACUUACACCCUCGGACUACAAAGGACCGGGACAGACACGAUGGGUGUGUUUUCUAUUAAGGUGCUGCCAAAACCAGAGGUCCCAGACGAACCAGGGCCAGACACACUCCUCUACCACCCCUGGACCGAACCUGCCACCACUGUGUUAAAAAUCCCAUUCAGGUAAUUAAUGUUAGAGACUAUUCAGCUAUUGAUCAAUUAGGCACUGAGACUGGUUUUGAUGGUAGGGACAAUUUGUGGCUGUCUUAUAUGAGGUAUACAGCUAAGACCCUGAAAAGAAAGGACUGCAUGAGUUACAU